AGCGAACGCUGGCGGCGUACUUAACACAUGCAAGUCGAACGGGGAUCGACACGUGAGCAAUCACGUGGCGGUCUUAGUGGCGUACGGGUGAGUAACACGUGGGCAACCUGCCCUUGAGUCUGGGAUAACCUCCCGAAAGGGAGGCUAAUACCGGAUACGGUCCUCGGGUCGCGAGAUCUGAGGAAGAAAGGUGGCGCAAGCUACCGCUCUUGGAGGGACUCGCGGCCUAUCAGCAGUUGGUGAGGUAACGGCUCACCAAGGCUAUGACGGGUAGCUGGUCUGAGAGGGCGACCAGCCACACGGGGGACUGAGACACGG
rnacentral:rRNA from 1 species